UUCUAAGUCACCAACUUAUAACACUUCGCUCUCACCACCAAAUCAGAGAAGAACAUAUUAACUCGUUCUCACCACCAACACUUCGCGCCACUCAAUCCCAAAUCGGAGGAAGGUUUCGCCGUCACCGCUCACCAUGCACUACUCGCCACUCCACCAGAACCGUAGCUCCCUCUUCGCUGUGUGCUCACCGUUCCUCUUCCUCGCUCAACACUCACCACUCACCACUCACCACUCGAGAACCAUUGCUCCUCUUCGGUGCGUGCUUACAUCGGGAAGACUCUGUGGUCAGCAUCGUCGUCCCUUCGCUCACCAUUGUUAAGAAGGUGAAAUCGUACCCAACACUCCGUUCAAACAGGUGAGCUUGGCCACCACCAACCUUGCCCCGGGUUUCAGGAAGUUCUUAACUGGGGUCUGUUGCCACAACAAACAAUACAUCUGUCUUGUCCCUCACAUUUUAUUCAUCAUGAAUGAGGGGGAUGCGUUACUAAGAUUUUUACCAAAACUUAGUUACCAGUUGAAGCCUUUCAGAGCCAUAUUCCAGUGUACAUUUUCAUCAUUGUUUCACACUGCUAUCGCUGAUCAUUAUAGUGUGCAUUUUCAUCAUUGUUUCAUUGCUUUCACACUGCUAUCUAUAUGGAAUUAAAGCAGUAUAUAAUGGCCCAAACAAGAAAGAAGUAAUAUAAAAUACUUACUGAGGACCAAAGAAUUAUGUAUAGUCUCACCCAAAUUAAAGCCUAAAGAUUUGACUUUGUUAAUUAUUAGUUGCUUUGAAUUAUAUUAUUAGUUGCUUUGAAUUAUAAAGGAUUCUUUUCACAAUUGCUUCAGUGCCAUAUGUUCCUAAUUUGCAAUAAACAAGCUUUCCCUUCACCUUAUUUGGAUCUAAGGAACCUCCAAAGCAGUAUCUAUAUCUAUGCAUUAAUUAAAUUCUUCUUUGUCUAUAUGUUGACUUGUUUUGUUUAUGUAUUCCAACUACAGGAUUUUUUUCUUCUCCUUGGCUUCCGCAACAUUCCUAAAAGACUAAAGCCUCUUCUUCACAGCACAGGUGUUGAGCUUUCAUAUGAUAAAGUGGUUGAAACAAAAGUUUCUGAGCCUUGAGAAGGAAGAAUAGCAAUAGCAGAAACAAUCUAUUCUGGCAGAGUCUGAAUUGUAUUGCUGUCACACCUCGGGAACAAUUUUGUUAAUAAUUUCUACUUAGUGUUAGUGUGUAUAUCACUGUAUAAAACUAAGAUUGAGACAAGUGUAUUCACUUAACUAUAUUGAUAUGUUAGUUGGUUA